rnacentral:rRNA from 1 species
UACGGAGGAUGCAAGCGUUAUCCGGAAUGAUUGGGCGUAAAGCGUCCGCAGGUGGCGAUGUAAGUCUGCUGUUAAAGAGCGAGGCUCAACCUCAUAAGAGCAGUGGAAACUACAUAGCUAGAGUGCGGUAGGGGCAGAGGGAAUUCCUGGUGUAGCGGUGAAAUGCGUAGAGAUCAGGAAGAACACCGGUGGCGAAAGCGCUCUGCUAGGCCGCAACUGACACUGAGGGACGAAAGCUAGGGGAGCGAAUGGG